GGGCGUUUAGCUCAGCUGGUUCAGAGCGUCUGCCCUACAAGCAGAGGGUCGGCGGUUCGAAUCCGUCAACGCCCA
rnacentral:tRNA from 1 species